rnacentral:rRNA from 1 species
GACCGNCAAGGUUNAAAACUCAAAGGAAAUUGAACGGGGNCCCGCACAAGCGGNGGAGCAUGUGGUUUAAUUNGAAGCAACGCGAAGAACCUUACCAAAUCUUGACAUCCUUUGNCCGCUCUAGAGAUAGAGUNUUCCCCUUCGGGGGACAAAGUGACAGGUGGUGCAUGGUUGUCGUCAGCUCGUGUCGUGAGAUGUUGGGUUAAGUCCCGCAACGAGCGCAACCCUUAAGCUUAGUUGCCAUCAUUAAGUUGGGCACUCUAAGUUGACUGCCGGUGACAAACCGGAGGAAGGUGGGGAUGACGUCAAAUCAUCAUGCCCCUUAUGAUUUGGGCUACACACGUGCUACAAUGGACAAUACAAAGGGCAGCUAAACCGCGAGGUCAAGCAAAUCCCAUAAAGUUGUUCUCAGUUCGGAUUGUAGUCUGCAACUCGACUACAUGAAGCUGGAAUCGCUAGUAAUCGUAGAUCAGCAUGCUACGGUGAAUACGUUCCCGGGUCUUGUACACACCGCCCGUCACACCACGAGAGUUUGUAACACCCGAAGUCCGGUGGAGUAACCAUUUAUGGAGCUAGCCUUGAAGUGACAAUUG